rnacentral:rRNA from 1 species
CACGCCCUAAACGAUGCGAACUAGGUGUUGGGGAAGGAGACUUUCUUAGUACCGCAGCUAACGCGUGAAGUUCGCCGCCUGGGGAGUACGGUCGCAAGAUUAAAACUCAAAGGAAUUGACGGGGACCCGCACAAGCGGUGGAUGAUGUGGUUUAAUUCGAUGCAACGCGAAAAACCUUACCCACCUUUGACAUGUACGGAAUCCUUUAGAGAUAGAGGAGUGCUCGAAAGAGAGCCGUAACACAGGUGC